GAGGGUAUAGCUCAGUGGUAGAGCAUGUGCUUAGCAUGCACGAGGUCCUGGGUUCAAUCUACAGGACCUCCA
rnacentral:tRNA from 1 species